rnacentral:rRNA from 1 species
GAAUUUUGGACAAUGGGCGAAAGCCUGAUCCAGCAAUGCCGCGUGCAGGAUGAAGGCCUUCGGGUUGUAAACUGCUUUUGUCCGGAACGAAAAGCUUUGGGUUAACACCCUGGAGUCAUGACGGUACCGUAAGACUAGGCACCGCCUAACACCGUCCAGGCAGCCGCGGUAAUACGUAGGGUGCAAGCGUUGAUCGGAAUUACUGGGCGUAAAGCGUGCGCAGGCGGUUUUGUAAGACAGAGGUGAAAUCCCCGGGCUCAACCUGGGAACUGCCUUUGUGACUGCAAGGCUAGAGUACGGCAGAGGGGGGUGGAAUUCCGCGUGUAGCAGUGAAAUGCGUAGAUAUGCGGAGGAACACCGAUGGCGAAGGCAACCCCCUGGGCCUGUACUGACGCUCAUGCACGAAAGCGUGGGGAGCAGACAGG